rnacentral:rRNA from 1 species
GGAUUGCCCUAGUAACGGCGAGUGAAGCGGCAACAGCUCAAAUUUGAAAUCUGGCCCCCCGGCCCGAGUUGUAAUUUGUAGAGGAUGCUUCUGGGUAGCGACCGGUCUAAGUUCCUUGGAACAGGACGUCAUAGAGGGUGAGAAUCCCGUAUGCGACCGGCCCGCGCCCUCCACGUAGCUCCUUCGACGAGUCGAGUUGUUUGGGAAUGCAGCUCUAAAUGGGAGGUAAAUUUCUUCUAAAGCUAAAUACCGGCCAGAGACCGAUAGCGCACAAGUAGAGUGAUCGAAAGAUGAAAAGCACUUUGGAAAGAGAGUUAAAAAGCACGUGAAAUUGUUGAAAGGGAAGCGCUUACAACCAGACUUUGGGGCGGUGUUCCGCCGGUCUUCUGACCGGUCUACUCUCCGUCCCGAGGCCAACAUCAUCUGGGACCGCCGGACAAGACCUCAGGAAUGUAGCUCCCCCUCGGGGGAGUGUUAUAGCCUGUGGUGAUGCGGCGCGUCCCGGGUGAGGUCCGCGCUUCGGCAAGGAUGUUGGCGUAAUGGUUGUCAGCGGCCCGUCUUGAAACACGGACCAAGGAGUCUAACAUCUAUGCGAGUGUUCGGGUGUCAAACCCCUACGCGGAAUGAAAGUGAACGGAGGUGGGAAGGGGCAACCCUGCACCAUCGACCGAUCCUGAUGUCCUCGGAUGGAUUUGAGUAAGAGCAUAGCUGUUGGGACCCGAAAGAUGGUGAACUAUGCCUGAAUAGGGUGAAGCCAGAGGAAACUCUGGUGGAGGCUCGCAGCGGUUCUGACGUGCAAAUCGAUCGUCAAAUUUGGGUAUAGGGGCGAAAGACUAAUC